AAAUAGUGUUCUCACAGACAGACCACUGUAAAGUGAAUGCCGUGUGACUUUUUAAACCUUUGGGGAGACUUCUGGCCUUUUUCCUUUCCCACCAAUUUUCUUUCAUCUUCUGUCUCUGAGGACCCUGGUUCCUUGUGUUGAUCUAGUAAGUGAUGUGUCCUCAUCAGUGACUUGCCAUUGGAUAGGAUUAGAGAAGGAGUGAGAGGUUUCAGAAGGGAAGAGCUUGACCACUUUUCAUAAUGGUCUUUCAACACUUUACAGGGAACAUGCUCCAGGAAAAGGCCAGCCCGGUGUCUUUGAUCACACAGGCUGCUUGGUGUAUGUACUCCUGGCUUAUGCACAAAAGCCCCCAGAGCAUAAUGACAAAAUAAUUAUAAGCAAAUGAAUAAAUGAGCCUUGUUUCAAUCAAUUGUCCUUUUUUUUAAAAAAUGGAAUUUCCUAGUUUCCCUCUCCCUCUGCUUAAAAUAUGUAUGUAUAGUUGUAUGUCAUUCAUUGUCAUUUCAGAUGGGUUUUGAGGUCUCAGAUUUCAUGCAUCUUUUAAAUGAACUUUUUUUUUUACAUGUAUUGAGGGAUUUCUGGCAAUCUCCCCCAUGUUGUGAAACCAUUACAGAUCUAUUUAACCCAAGAUUUUCAUGGUGCCAUGGGCAUCACGGUUGGACCAAUUGGUACCUCCAGGCCAGUCAUGCCCCUGUGUGAAUAGAGCCCCAGGUUUAGUAGAAUGGCUCUAAGGGUGGUCCUGCUUCUGGGUCCAAAGUCACAGCAUCUCUGGUCUCUGGAAGUCUGUCAAACCUAAAAACAUACAGAGCCUAUAAAGAUUCCUUCUAUUCAGAGGAUGACCCAGAUGUGUCCCAGGUUUUCAACAUGAAAGAGACAAAAUUCAGAAGGCACAACUUUAACUUACCACCUAAUUCCACAUAAUGAUAUUUACUUUAAAUAACCAAAGAAUUCUCCCCUCACAGACAGAUGGGCCCAGUUCCCUAUAUUUGUUAUUUCCUGAUCAUUUAUACAUAAAAGAAUCAAAUUCAUAUUAAAAGAAUGCACUUACCUUUCUACUUUUAUUUUUCAUUAAGAAAAAACUAUAUAUUCUGCCUGCAUCAAUAUCUUGUUUUGGCUUCUUCCCCUUACAAAAAAAGCAAACACUUUUCACUUAACGGUUAAUGUCUACAACAAGGCUGAUGUUUACUCUCAGAUGUUUUCACUAGUGAAUCUAGUCCUCUUUGAGAAAGCUUGUACAGAAAAAGUUAACAGAUAUAUUUUAUGGAAAAAAAAAGCCCAUCUUAUUUUCAGAUAUAUUUAACUGCUGUUAUAUUUUAUUAGCAGAAGGGUGUAAAUAUUUUCUAGGAGUUCUAUUGUAAAGAAGAGUAUUUUUGAAAAAAAAAGUUUAAUGUAUUAAAAAGGAAAACAUUUUAAAGCUGUGGUUACGUUCGGUUCCUGUUAUUACUUCCUGAUGUUCUGUUCUCAACGGCUCGCUUGCAUGCCUUCUCCUUGCUGGAUGUAAUUUAUUCAGGUUUGUGCCAUUUUUGAGUUUGAUUUCAUGAUCUUUGGUGUGUUCGGCUGUAUUUCCCCAGCAUGCAGUAUACUUGGUACAUUGUCAAAGCGCUUUGUAUGACAUAUUCAUAGUAUUUCCUUUUGUGCUGUGUUGUGUUUGUGUGUGUGU
rnacentral:lncRNA from 1 species